rnacentral:lncRNA from 1 species
CGCUGCUCCGUGAGCUGUCGGGGCUGUGCGUGCGGCUGUGCGUGGGGCUGCGCCCACACCGGUACGUGGGCUCAGCGAGAGCACUUCAGGUUUGGAUCCUGAGUGCUUGACUCGCGUUUCCUUACAAUUUUGGAUCUGCUGCUUUUCUGCACGGUUCAUGGAGUUGGAAUAAGAUUGUCCUAUGGGGCAACGCACAGCAGAUUAGGAACGUGCUCACAUGAGGUGAUCCAAAAGUGCUCUUUUAUGAGCGUUUGUUCUCCUUCCAGCUCAGGAGCAGCGCUGGGCGAGACUCACCUCCCUGCACGGGGAUGAAGAACAUCAUAAUAUGUUUGAAGCAAAGAACUGCAGAUAGGGAGAUUUUCAAAAAGCCAUUUGUUUACCUGGGUGAGGCAUUCAGACCAAAAGCGAAGGGUUAUUCAGGAAAGAACUCAAGCAUGUGGCUACAGCACUGGAGCAGACCCAUUCAGCCUCAGCUCGCAGCAGCACAGCUAGGGGUGCAGUGGGGUUCAUCAGGCCAGCACCUCCUCCUGGAGCUGAGCACAAGCCUGCACUCCUGGAUCAUGCCAUCCUGGCCAUUUAUUUGCCUGAAACUUAAACCUAUGCACUUCUCCUGGUGGUUGCAAAGUUUGCCACGCUCUGUCAAGCCUGCAGCGAUUACUUAUGGGCCACAGAUGGAUGCCUCAGCUCACUGGAGAGAUGUGUCCUGUAAUGCAUGCUGCUUGUUCACAGCUGAUCCCGAAAGAAGCUGACAUAAGGGCAUCAAGGAGCAUAAUUUUCCAGAAAUGCACUCCCUGCAUUUCUGACUGAAAGGGUAUGUGCAGAGUGGUUCACUGUGGCAGAGACUGAAGUGUUUGAGAGGUUUGUACUCCAGCCUGCUAUUAACUAUUGGUAGCACUGACUGCAGGGCUGCAGGCAGUGCAUGCUUUUAGCUUGAAUUUUCACUUCUUCAUUCUGGAAGGAAGAAUGGGAGAAAUGUUCUGGGUGCAAAUUCCGUGUGUGUCUCACGCCAUCUGCUAAUAGCAUGUGUGAGCUGCUCUACUGCCAGAAACCAGGAACAAAGAUAACAUCACUGCAGAGAGAACUGCCCUGCUCCCAAGUGAGGCUCGUACUGCAGGAAGCUACCGCUGGUCCUGAGCACAUUCACCAGAGUCUUGAGAGUCUGCUGUGCCACAGCUGGAUGCUCAUCCAUCUGAGAACCAGGCUUUUCUCUGCCUUUCCACAGCCUGCAAUGCAGUCAGGAAGCAAAGGAUACUAAGGGAUGUUAGCAGCUGCCAAACUGCCAGUUCCCAACGAGUCACUCCACACCCUGGAAUUACUUCUGACAGAUGUAAAAUGCCUUCUGCUGAAUUCCUACUCCAAAGAGCCUUUUGCAUGACCGGUUUAUCAGUGAAUGCAAG